rnacentral:rRNA from 1 species
UGGGGAAUUUUGGACAAUGGGCGAAAGCCUGAUCCAGCAAUGCCGCGUGUGUGAAGAAGGCCUUCGGGUUGUAAAGCACUUUUGUCCGGAAAGAAAUCCUUGGCUCUAAUACAGUCGGGGGAUGACGGUACCGGAAGAAUAAGCACCGGCUAACUACGUGCCAGCAGCCGCGGUAAUACGUAGGGUGCAAGCGUUAAUCGGAAUUACUGGGCGUAAAGCGUGCGCAGGCGGUUUGCUAAGACCGAUGUGAAAUCCCCGGGCUCAACCCGGGAACUGCAUUGGUGACUGGCAGGCUAGAGUAUGGCAGAGGGGGGUAGAAUUCCACGUGUAGCAGUGAAAUGCGUAGAGAUGUGGAGGAAUACCGAUGGCGAAGGCAGCCCCCUGGGCCAAUACUGACGCUCAUGCACGAAAGCGUGGGGAGCAAACAGGAUUAGAUACCCUGGUAGUCCACGCCCUAAACGAUGUCAACUAGUUGUUGGGGAUUCAUUUCCUUAGUAACGUAGCUAACGCGUGAAGUUGACCGCCUGGGGAGUACGGUCGCAAGAUUAAAACUUAAAUGAAUUGACGGGGUCAUAGCUGUUUCCU